rnacentral:rRNA from 1 species
UACGGGGGGAGCAAGCGUUGUUCGGAUUUACUGGGCGUAAAGGGCGCGUAGGCGGCCACGGGAGGUCGGCUGGGAAAUCUCUGGGCUUAACCCAGAAAGGUCAACCGAUACUGCGGGGCUAGAGUGCAGAAGGGGCAACUGGAAUUCUCGGUGUAGCGGUGAAAUGCGUAGAUAUCGAGAGGAACACCUGCGGCGAAGGCGGGUUGCUGGGCUGACACUGACGCUGAAGCGCGAAAGCUAGGGGAGCGAACGGG